ACUUGUAAAAUUUAAUUUUGAUUUGAAAUCAAUUGUUUUGUUUUAAAUAACAAUACAAGUU
rnacentral:tRNA from 1 species